rnacentral:rRNA from 1 species
GUGGGGAAUCUUCCGCAAUGGACGAAAGUCUGACGGAGCGACGCCGCGUGAGUGAUGAAGGCCUUCGGGUCGUAAAGCUCUGUCAUCGGGGACGAACGGCCUCAGCAGGUAAUGGCUGGGGAUUGACGGUACCCGAGAAGGAAGCCACGGCUAACUACGUGCCAGCAGCCGCGGUAAUACGUAGGUGGCAAGCGUUGUCCGGAAUUAUUGGGCGUAAAGCGCGCGCAGGUGGGAUCUUAAGUCCAUUUUGAAAGUUCGGAGCUCAACUCCGUGAUGGGAUGGAAACUGGGAUUCUUGAGUACCGGAGAGGAAAGCGGAAUUCCCCGUGUAGCGGUGAAAUGCGUAGAUAUGGGGAGGAACACCAGUGGCGAAGGCGGCUUUCUGGACGGUGUCUGACACUGAGGCGCGAAAGCCAGGGGAGCGAACGGGAUUAGAAACCCGGGUAGUCC